AAAUGACUCUGGAACGUUUUCUGUAAAAUCAGAAUGAAUAAGUCAUAUUCUUACUGCACAGUGAACUGACUGGGAUUGGGAGUUGUAACUGCAGAAUCUUCUCUGUGGAUGGGGGAAGACAUUGUGAGACACACCGGUGGCUGGUGACGGAGAACUCCUCCAAUCUCAGAAUUCCAGUUUACACACAGAAAUGCAGCAUAAAUCACCCUCAGGAGAAAGCAGAUGGAUGAGACCUUGAGAAAUCCAAGGAAAUGCAAUUAUCCACUCCCUCUACUCAGUGUUCAGUGCACUCCUCCAUGUGACCUGGCUCUGCAGAGAAGCACUGAGUCAAGUAUAAACAUGGAGAUGAAACAGAUGGGACAGGUCCCUAAGAUGUGUGGAAAACUGUUCUGUUUCCUAAAAUCUUACUCUUGGGGACCAACAUCAUGGGCAACAACAGUUCUGCGCAAAGCACAUGUGCAUCAGAAUAUGGAGUUGAAGAAAAAUAGGCAUUUCGCUAUCUCUGGGCACUAGAAACCACACACUGUUUACUCUUUUCUGAAACAGUGCUCAUCCUAACCAACCCAAAGGUAUCUCCAGCAUAAAUCGACACCAUCCGUGAGACAAGAAGCACAUCUCAAUUGACCCAUUCUCACCAAAGAAGGAGCUUUUAUUCCUGAAUCUUGGUUGUGACUUGUUGGAUAAAGGACGAUGUGUGUUUGGAAAUAAUUUUCCAUCAGCUCCAAGCUGAAGUGACCUUCAGUGUCUUACUUUGGAGGAAGUCAAGUACUAUGAUGAAAAUAACAAAUGGAAAUAGAGUAUAAUUUAUCACUAAAUAGGCCGACAUGUGGAAAGAUCCCUCCAGGCUCUUACAAAAGCAGGUGGCCUGGAUUCAGAGUGCAGAGGACGGCAGCAGAGGGCCCGAGGAGCCAGGACCUUGCCUGUCCUUGAAGGAAGCUCAGGAAGCUGGGCCACCCAGCAGUUCUCCUCUGUUCGUCAUACACCUGCCACCGAGGCUGCUCCCAACCUGGGGUGAGC
rnacentral:lncRNA from 1 species